GCAAGUCGAGCGCGAGCGAUUCCUUCGGGGAUCUAGUAGAGCGGCGAACGGGUGAGUAACGCGUGGGUAACCUGCCCUUUGGUGGGGAAUAACUCCGGGAAACUGGGGCUAAUGCCGCAUCAGCUCUUUGUCCCUGCGGGGACUUAGUGGGAAGCAUGCCUCUGCUUCAAGCAUGCGCCAGAGGAGUGGCCCGGGUCCCAUUAGCUUGUUGGUGGGGUAAUGGCCUACCAAGGCGACGAUGGGUAGCCGGCCUGAGAGGGUGUCC
rnacentral:rRNA from 1 species